GACGAACGCUGGCGGCGCGCUUAACACAUGCAAGUCGAACGGAAAGGCCCUGCUUUUGUGGGGUGCUCGCGUGGCGAACGGGUGAGAAACACGUGAGUAACCUGCCCAUGAUUUUGGGAUAACUUCAGGCAACUGGGGCUAAUACCGGCUAGGAGCUCCUGCUGUAUGGUGGGGGUUGGAACGCUUCGGCGGUUGGGGAUGGAUUCGCGGCUUAUCAGCUUGUUGGUGGGGUAGUGGCCUACCAAGGCUUUGACGGGUAGCCGGCCUGAGAGGGUGGCCGGCCUCAUUGGGACUGAGAUACGGCCCAGACUCCUACGGGAGGCAGCAGUGGGGAAUAUUGCACAAUGGGCGGAAGCCUGAUGCAGCAACGCCGCGUGCGGGAUGACGGCCAUCGGGUUGUAAACCGCUUGCGCCUGUGACGAAGCGUGAGUGACGGUAAUGGGUAAAGAAGCACCGGCUAACUACGUG
rnacentral:rRNA from 1 species